GUAGUACUCCAUAAAUUAAAAUUGCCUAGAAACCCUAAAUCUCUCCAUCUCCAUAUCUCUAUCUCUAUCUCUAUCUCUAUCUCAAUUGGCAGAAUUGACUCGUGUUUUCCCCACACCAAGAGUCAUAGCCCUCGCAGAUUUCACGCCGCCGGCCUGCUUGCCCGGAGAAGAAAGCUGAGGACUUGGCUGUCUCGGAGUUUGGUCCCCCGCCGCGGCUGCUACUCGCCAUCAUCAGACGCCGUCGUCUCCUGCAGCAGGUCACUGGUCCGGAUUCGUGGGCAGCGUCGCGUGGCUGCUGACUCGCGGCCUUGCCGCCGCCGCCAACUGCGCGAACCCGUCGCCGUCCGCCCUCCCAUCGUUUGAUCCAGCUGAGCCAAGUGGGGACUUAUCAAGAUCCAUGGGCAUCCCAACUUUCAAUCGGUUGUGAAGACUUUUGACUUCAGCCUCACUGUUGCCUCUUCAAGAUCAUGUAAAUAUGUCCUGAAUACUAUGAUGUAGUUAAGGAGAGUACUCUUGAUAGUCUCAUCAUGGAACUAUUGCUCCGGCUUUUGGAUGAUAGUAAUCCCCAAUGGAUGAUGGAAGUCAACUUUUAAGAGCUUUGAAUGUUCUGAUGUUAAAGAUUCUGGUAACUAUCACUGUCAAGAUAUCUGGCUGGCUGUCUUUUACGAGUCUAAGAUAUCUUCCCUAUCAGCUCCUCGGGACCUUAUCGAUCCAGUUGAUAUAUUAAAGCCUUUGGAGAAGUCUGGAUUUUGGGAAGCGGUGAAAGCUUCAAAAUGGCGUGAGAGGAAAGAAGCUGUUGCUGAACUAACCGAACUUGCUUCCACCAAAAAGAUUUCUCUUGGAGAUUUUUUCAGAAAGUUUGUCAUACAUUAAAGAAGGUUAUCACGAAUGUAAAUGUUACUAAAGAAAGGAAAAAAAAGAAAAAAACAUUGUUGUUGCAGCUGAUGCUAUUCUAGCGCUGGGCAACUUUCCUAUGGGACUGAGAAUCCUAGUAAAAAAAAGAAAAAAAAGAAAAAAAAGAAAAAAAAGGAAAAAAAUGAAAAAAGCAAAAAAAGGAAAAAAAGGAAAAAAGGAAAAAAUAAUUGCUGAUGCAUUUAAAUCUAUUCAAGCACUGGGCAACUUUGCUGGGGAUCCGAGAGCCCAUUUUUCUGCCAGUUGUCGCUUCUUAUUUGCCUAUAAACCGCACCUCAGGACCUUGUCGAUCCAGUUAAUAUAUUAAAGCCUCCUUAGGAGAAGUCUGGAUUUUGGGAAGCGGUUAAAGCUUCAAAAUGGCGUUAGAGGAAAGAAGCUGUUGCUGAACUAACCGAACUUGCUUCCACCAAAAAGAUUUCUCUUGGAUAUUUUUUUCAGAAAGUUUGUCAUACAUUAAAGAAGGUUAUCACGAAUGUAAAUGUUACUGAAGGAAGGAAAAAAAGGAAAAAACAUUGUUGCUGCAGCUGAAGCUAUUCAAGCGCUGGGCAACCUUCCAAGGGCCUGAGAACCCUUCGAAAAAAAAGAGAAAAAAGGAAAAAAAAGAAAAAAAAGUAAAAAAAGGGAAAAAGUGAAAAAAAAAUUGCUACUGCGUAUAAAGCUAUUCAAGCAUUGGGCAACGUUGCUAGACUUUUUAGAACAAGAGCCUUGCUUAUGCAGUUAAUGAGUGUACUCUUCUCAUCAAGGAACUGUUUCUUUGGCUUUUGGAUGAUGGGCUUCCGGAGAUGGAUGAUGGAAGUCAAAUUUUAACUGCUUUGAAUGUUAUGAUGUUAAAAAUUCUAGAUAACGCAGAAUAUACGACAUAAUUUCCUGGGCUUAUAAAUCUGUUAAGACCUCUAGAUCCAUCAAGAUGUCCAUCUUCAUAUCAGAAACCUAAAACCUAAAGUUCUCUGAUUUGGUUUUUAAAUAUUUGAUCAUGCUCCAAAGGAAUCUGCAACUCCAAAGAAGGUUGUUAAAGUAACUUAUUCUACAUCAUCUGUGGUGACUGGUGGCAUAGAUGGAUUUCCACGUGAAGAUAUAAGUGAAAAGAUCACCCCCACUUUGUUAAAAAGCUUAUAGAGUUCUAAUUGGAAGGUCCACUUGGAGUCUAUUGAAAAUAAUACCAAAAUUCUAGAAGAGGUGAACUGGAACUGGAGAUCUAUUUGGAGCUCUAUAAGGGCGUCUACACGACAGUUCUAAAAUUUGAUAAUUGCUACUUUGUCCACAAUUGGUACUCUUGGGACUAUAAUGGGACAUCCAGUUGAGAAGUCAAGCUAGGUACUCUUUUACAAUGGCCAAUGUUGUCAAGUUACCACGUAGCCAAAGGUCGAGAUCCUCAGGACCUUAUCGAUCCAGUUGAUAUAUUAAAGCCUUUGGAGAAGUCUGGAUUUUGGGAAGCGGUGAAAGCUUCAAAAUGGCGUGAGAGGAAAGAAGCUGUUGCUGAACUAACCGAACUUGCUUCCACCAAAAAGAUUUCUCUUGGAUAUUUUUUCAGAAAGUUUGUCAUAGAUUAAAGAAGGUUAUCACGAAGGUAAAUGUUACUGAAGAAAGGAAAAAAAAGAAAAAAACAUUGUUGUUGCAGCUGAUGCUAUUCUAGCGCUGGGCAACCUUCCUAUGGGACUGAGAAUCCUAGUAAAAAAAAGAAAAAAAAGAAAAAAAGGAAAAAAAAUGAAAAAAGGAAAAAAAGGAAAAAAAAGGAAAAAAGGAAAAAAUAAUUGCUGAUGCAUUUAAAGCUAUUCAAUCACUGGGCAACUUUGCUGGGGAUCCGAGAGCCCAUUUUUCGGCCAGUUGUCGCUUCUUAUUUGCCUGUAAACCGCACCUCAGGACCUUGUCGAUCCAGUUAAUAUAUUAAAGCCUCCUUAGGAGAAGUUUGGAUUUUGGGAAGCGGUGAAAGCUUCAAAAUGGCGUGAGAGGAAAGAAGCUGUUGCUGAACUAACCGAACUUGCUUCCACCAAAAAGAUUUCUCUUGGAGAUUUUUUCAGAAAGUUUGUCAUAGAUUAAAGAAGGUUAUCACGAAUGUAAAUGUUACUGAAGAAAGGAAAAAAAGGAAAAAAACAUUGUUGUUGCAGCUGAUGCUAUUCUAGCGCUGGGCAACCUUCCUAUGGGACUGAGAAUCCUAGUAAAAAAAAGAAAAAAAGAAAAAAAAGAAAAACAGGAAAAAAAAUGAAAAAAGCAAAUAAUGGAAAAAAAGGAAAAAAAGGAAAAAAUAAUUGCUGAUGCAUUUAAAGCUAUUCAAGCACUGGGCAACUUUGCUGGGGAUCCGAGAGCCCAUUUUUCGGCCAGUUGUCGCUUCUUAUUUGCCUGUAAACUGCACCUCAGGACCUUGUCGAUCCGGUUAAUAUAUUAAAGCCUCCUUAGGAGAAGUCUGGAUUUUGGGAAGCGGUGAAAGCUUCAAAAUGGCGUUAGAGGAAAGAAGCUGUUGCUGAACUAACCGAACUUGCUUCCACCAAAAAGAUUUCUCUUGGAGAUUUUUUCAGAAAGUUUGUCAUACAUUAAGGAAGGUUAUCACGAAUGUAAAUGUUACUGAAGGAAGGAAAAAAAGGAAAAAAACAUUGUUGCAGCUGAAGCUAUUCAAGAGCGGGGCAACCUUCCUAAGCGCCUAAGAACUCAUCUAAAAAAAAGAAAAAAGGAAAAAAAGGAAAAAAAAAUUGCUACUGCGUAUAAAGCUAUUCAUGCAUUGGGCAACGUUGCUAGACUUUUCAGAACAAGAGCCUUGCUUAUGCAGUUAAGGAGUGUACUCUUCUCAUCAAGGAACUGUUUCUCUGGCUUUUGGAUGAUAGGCUUCCGGAGAUGGCUGAUGGAAGUCAAAUUUUGACUGUUUUGAAUGUUCUGAUGUUAAAAAUUCUGGAUAACGCAGAAUAUACGUCAUCAUUUCCUGGGCUUAUAAAUCUGUUAAGACCUCUGGAUCCAUCAAGAUAUCCAUCUUCAGAUCAGAAACCUAAAACCUAAAGUUCUCUAAUUUGGUUUUUAAAUGUUUGAUCAUGCUCCAAAGGAAUCUGCAACUCCAAAGAAGGUUGUUAAAGUAACUUAUUCUACAUCAUCUGUGGUGACUGGUGGCAUAGAUGGACUUCCACGUGAAGAUAUUAGUUAAAAGAUCACCCCCCACUUUGUUAAAAAGCUUAUAGAGUUCUGAUUGGAAGGUCCACUUGGAGUCUAUUGAAAAUAAUACCAAAAUUCUAGAAGAGGUGAACUGGAACUGGAGAUCUAUUUGGAGCUCUAUAAGGGCGUCUACACGACAGUUCUAAAAUUUGAUAAUUGCUACUUUGUCCACAAUUGGUACUCUUGGGACUAUAAUGGGACAUCCAGUUGAGAAGUCAAGCUAGGUACUCUUUUACAAUGGCCAAUGUUGUCAAGUCACCACGUAGCCAAAGGUCGAGAUCCUCAGGACCUUAUCGAUCCAGUUGAUAUAUUAAAGCCUUUGGAGAAGUCUGGAUUUUGGGAAGCGGUGAAAGCUUCAAAACGGCGUGAGAGGAAAGAAGCUGUUGCUGAACUAACCGAACUUGCUUCUACCAAAAAGAUUUCUCUUGGAUAUUUUUUCAGAAAGUUUGUCAUAGAUUAAAGAAGGUUAUCACGAAGGUAAAUGUUACUGAAGAAAGGAAAAAAAAAGAAAAAAACAUUGUUGUUGCAGCUGAUGCUAUUCUAGCGCUGGGCAACCUUCCUAUGGGACUGAGAAUCCUAGUAAAAAAAAGAAAAAAAGGAAAAAAAAUGAAAAAAGGAAAAAAAGGAAAAAAAGGGAAAAAAGGAAAAAAUAAUUGCUGAUGCAUUUAAACUAUUCAAUCACUGGGAAACUUUGCUGGGGAUCCGAGAGCCCAUUUUUCGGCCAGUUGUCGCUUCUUAUUUGCCUGUAAACCGCACCUCAGGACCUUGUCGAUCCAGUUAAUAUAUUAAAGCCUCCUUAGGAGAAGUCUGGAUUUUGGGAAGCGGUGAAAGCUUCAAAAUGGCGUUAGAGGAAAGAAGCUGUUGCUGAACUAACCGAACUUGCUUCCACCAAAAAGAUUUCUCUUGGAGAUUUUUUCAGAAAGUUUGUCAUACAUUAAAGAAGGUUAUCACGAAUGUAAAUGUUACUGAAGGAAGGAAAAAAAGGAAAAAAACAUUGUUGCAGCUGAAGCUAUUCAAGAGCGGGGCAACAUUCCUAAGCGCCUAAGAACUCAUCUAAAAAAAAGAAAAAAGGAAAAAAAAAAAAUUGCUACUGCGUAUAAAGCUAUUCAUGCAUUGGGCAACGUUGCUAGACUUUUCAGAACAAGAGCCUUGCUUAUGCAGUUAAGGAGUGUACUCUUCUCAUCAAGGAACUGUUUCUCUGGCUUUUGGAUGAUAGGCUUCCGGAGAUGGCUGAUGGAAGUCAAAUUUUGACUGCUUUGAAUGUUCUGAUGUUAAAAAUUCUGAAAGCUUCAAAAUGGCGUGAGAGGAAAGAAGCUGUUGCUGAACUAACCGAACUUGCUUCCACCAAAAAGAUUUCUCUUGGAGAUUUUUUCAGAAAGUUUGUCAUACAUUAAAGAAGGUUAUCACGAAUGUAAAUGUUACUGAAGAAAGGAAAAAAAAGAAAAAAACAUUGUUGUUGCAGCUGAUGUUAUUCUAGCGCUGGGCAACCUUCCUAUGGGACUGAGAAUCCUAGUUAAAAAAAGAAAAAAAAGGAAAACAAAGAAAAUAAAAGGAAAAAAAGGAAAAAAUAAUUGAUGAUGCAUUUAAAGCUAUUCAUGCACUGGGCAACCUUGCUAGGGAUCCGAGAGCCCAUUUUUUGGCCAGUUGUCGCUUCUUAUUGCCUUCAUACCGACUUUUCAGAACAAGAGCCUUGCUUAUGCAGUUAAGGAGUGUACUCUGAUAGUCUCAUCAAGGAACUGUUUCUCUGACUUUUGGUUGAUAGGCUUCCGGAGAUGGAUGAUGGAAGUCAAAUCAUAACUGCUUUGAAUGUUCUGAUGUUAAAGAUUCUGGAUAACGCAAAAUAUACGUCAUCAUUUGCUGUGCCUAUAAAUCUGUUAAGACCUCUGGAUCCAUCAAGAUGUCCAUCUUCAGAUCAGAAACCUAAAACCUAAAGUUCUCUGAUUUGGUUUUUAAAUGUUUGAUCAUGCUCUAAAGGAAUCUGCAACUCCAAAGAAGGUUGUUAAAGUAACUUAACUGGUGGCAUAGAUGGACUUCCACGUGAAGAUAUAAGUGAAAAGGUCACCCCCUUUUUGUUAAAUGGCUUAUAGAGUUCUGAUUGGAAGGUCCACUUGGAAUCUAUUGAAAAUGUAACCAAAAUUCUGGAAGAGAACUGGAACUGGAGAUCUAUUUGGAGCUCUAUAGGGCGUAUCCACGACAGUUCUAAAAUUUGAUAAUUGCUACUUUGUCCCCAGUUGGUGCUCUUCGGACUACAAUGGGAUAUCCAGUUGUGAAGUCAAGCUAGGGGAUUCUUUCAGAUUUUUCAAAUGUCUUGAAAAGCCUUGGUGACAACAAAAAGCAUAUGCAUGAGUGUACAUUGAGUACCUUAGAUACUUGGCUUUAGUGUACAUCUGGCCAAUGUUGUCAAGUCACCACGUAGCCAAAGGUUGAGCACCUCAGGACCUUAUCGAUCCAGUUGAUAUAUUAAAGCCUUUGGAGAAGUCUGGAUUUUGGGAAGCGGUGCUUCAAAAUGGUGUGAGAGGAAAGUGGCUGUUGCUGAACUAACCGAACAUGCAUCCACCAAAAAGAAUGCUCCUGCGGAUUUUUUCAGAAAGUUAUCUAACAUUGAAGAAGGUUGUCACAAAUGUAAACAUUAUUGAAGGAAGAAAAAAAAAGAAAAAACAUUGUUGUUGCAGCUGAAGCUAUUUAAGCACUAGGCAAUCUUGCUAAGGGCCUGAUAACCCUUCCUAAAAAAAAGGAAAGAAAAGGAAAAAAAGGAAAAAGGAAAAAGAAAAAAAGAAGAAAAAAAGGAAAAAGGGAAAAAAAUGAAAAAAAAGGAAAAAAGGAAAAAAAUGUUGUUGCAUAUAAAAUUAUUCAAGCACUGGGCAACUUUGCUAGGGAUCCGAGAGCCAUUUUUUCGGCCAGUUGUUGCAUCUUAUUGCCUGUAAACCGGGUUGUGAAGACUUUUGACUUCCGCCUCACUGGUGCCUUUCAAGAUCUUGUAAAUAUGUCCUGAAUACUAUGAUAUAGACUUUUCAGAACAAGAGGCUUGCUUAUGCAUUUAAGGAGAGUCCUCUGAUAGUCUCAUCAUGGAACUGUUACUCUGGCUUUUGGAUGAUAGGGUUCCGGAGAUGGAUGAUGGAAGUCAAAUUUUAACAGCUUUGAAUGUUUUGAUGUUAAAGAUUCUGGAUAACACAGAACGUACGUCAUCAAUUCUUGUGCUUAUAAAUCUGUUAGGACCUCUGGAUCCAUCAAGACGUCCAUCUUCAGCAUCAAAUGAUUCUCUUGCGAUUAGAAACCCAUAAACCUGAAGUCCUCUUAUUUGGUUGUUAAAAUGUUUGAUCAAGCUCCAAAGGCAUCUGCAGCUCCAAAGAAGGUUGUUAAAGUAACUUGUUCUACAACAUCUGUGCUGACUGGUGGCAUGGAUGAACUUCCACGUGAAGAUACUGUUUAAAAGAUCACCCCCACUUUGUUAAAAGGCUUAGUCCACUUGGAAUCUAUUAAAAGUGUAACCAAAUUCUGGAAGAGGUGAACUGGAACUGGAGAUCUAUUUGGAGCUCUAAAGAGGAGUCUACACAAUAGUAACAAAAAUUUGAUAAUUGCUACUUUGUCCACAAUUGGUGCUCUUGGGACCACAAUGGGACAGCAGAAAUUAAGCUUGGGCAUUCUUUUAGAUGUUUUGAAAUGGCUUGGCGACAACAGAAAGCAUAUGCGUGAGUUUACAUUGAGUACCUUAGACACUUGGCCUUGUGCUGCUCAUCCCAAUAAAAUGCUAUUCUCACAGGCUAAAGUAGGCGCAGAGGGGCGCAAUUUGAUUGGCUAUCAAGACAACUUGCUGGAUUAGCUGAGUUUCAUGAUGCAAUCAAGCUAAUCGAACCCACUACAUCUGCUAUUAUGGAUAAAUCAACAGAUGUUCGUAAAGAGGUUGAAGCAUGAUUUAAUGAAAUAUUGAGGGUUUGUGGAAAUGAAACGGUAUCCGAAAAUUUGAGAGAUAUACAAGAUUAUGCUUUAGCUGAUAUUAGCAAACGACUGAAGCCAUAUGGAGCUUUUCAUGCUACUUUCCAUUAAAUCACUCAUAUCCUAAUAAAAAAUUUAUAUUGUUUUUCUACUUUUUCAUAUCAUUAUGUUGAUUUUUCUAGUGCCACAUAUCCAUUGCAGAAUAAUUAUGAAUCUGGAGAAUUUGUUUCGUCAAGCAUCACGUUGGAAAGCAGCCUAAAGACAGCAAAACCAAAUGGAAAUGGCGACCGCGAAUCUCAACAUGGAAGCAGAAAUGCACCUUCAAGAGUUGUGCCUAACAAGGGAUUCAGGCAAGAAUCUAUCUUGUCUUUUCAAGACAUCAACAUUCAGUCACAACAAGGAUGACAGAGAAAGAAUUAUUGUUUGCAAAUUCAAAUUAGAUGAAUUGCGUGUAGAGGAAAUUCAAGAUCUUGAGGUUUCUGCUCUCUUGUAAGAUUUUAGUUAUUACUAUAAUGAGAUUAGAUUUUCCAUACCACAGAGGAGGUCUUCAUACAAGUUUUUCAAAUUUUUAUCAGCUUUUGGGUUUGGGUAAAUAGUAGCAGACCAUCAGUGUUGACUUGUUUUAGCAUUUGUGUGGCUUAUGUAAUAUUUAUGUAUGUGAUGAUAUGUUACAUUCUUUAUAGAUUUUUAGUAAGGGACUAUGCUUACUUCAAAAAGAAUGAUGUCAUGAAAUACUUUCGAGAGGAUCUGCAUCGGAGGCUCUUAAGUGCUGACUUCAAAAAUCAAGUUGAUGGUAUUGAGAUGUUGCAAAAGGUUAUUUCAACAUAAAUUCUAGUUUUGAUCAUGUAACUUGCAAUUUUCUUUUACCUUCGAUUUGUUUAUGAUAUACAGGCUCUUCCUCCAUGGGAAGGGAGGUGAUUGAAGUCUUAGAUAUACUCUUAAAGUGGUUUGUGUUGAGGUUUUGUGAAUUCAACACAUCAUGCUUAUUAAAGUCUGGACAUAACAUUGAAAAAGUUCGAGAAAAAUGCGGGAACUGAUGAAACAAGUCAUACAAACAUAUUCUGCUCCCAAAUUAUGGGAUGAAAGUUGUGUGCCAUGAAUUGGCUUAAGCAACUGCUGACCCCAAAGGCAGCACAAUGGAAGAAAUACAGAAUGAUGCCGAUUAACUAGUUUCAUGCCCGACUUUUUAGAACAAGAGGCUUGCUUAUGGAGAUAAGGAGAGUACUAGUCUCAUCUUACACGAAACUGUUGCUAUGGCUUUUGGAUGAUAGGGUUCCACGGAUGGAUGAUGCUCUGAUGUUAAAGGUGCUGCAUCCAGGAAUUAACUGCAUCUGGAGGAAUUUACUGGUUUUUGCUUUUCUUGAAGAUAUAAAGGCAUUUCUGCAUUAAACCUGCUUUACUACGAGGCAUCUGCACUCCAAAGAAGGUUGUUAAAGUAGCUUAUUCUACAUCAUCUGCGGUGACUGGUGGCAUGGAUUGUCUUCCAUGUGAAGAUAUCAGUGAAAAGAUCACCCCCACUUUCUUUUAGAGAGUUCUGAUUGGAAGGUCCGCUUGGAAUCUAUUGAAAGUGUGACCAAAAUUCUGGAAGAGGUGAACAAACGUGUUCUGCUGGCUGGAACUGGAGAUCUAUUUGGAGCUAUAAAAGGGCGUCUACACGACACUAACGCAAAUUUGAUUAUUGCUACUUUAUCCACAAUUGGUGCUCUCUUAUACUAUUAAUUAUUGGUUUAUUAAGAGUCUCUUGCGCUAACUAACUGAGAUUCACAAUCCCAAUAUUAUAAAUACUUGGGAUCAUUUAACAAAUUCCGAAUUCCUCAAAGCCAAUAGCUGUACAUAUGCGUGAGUGGUCAUUGAGUACCUUAGAUACUUGGCUCUGCUCAUCCCAAUAAAAUGGUCUGUAGUCGAUUUGGAAAAUAGUGUUUUUCGAACUUCUGUUUUGAGUAUUGUUGACCUCAUCUUUUGUUGUGUCUACCACUACCAUGUAUUUCAGCUGUUCUCACAGACGCUAGGAUAAAUCAGCAAAUGUUCGUAAAGUGGCUGAAGCAUACUUUAAUGUACUGAGGGUUUGUCGACAAGAAACGGUAUCCAAGAAUUUGAGAGAUAUACAAGGUUCUGCUUUAGCUAUUUAGCAAACAACUGAAGUCAUAUUGAGCUUUUCAAGAUAAUUAUGAAUCUGGUGGAUAUGUUUUGUUAAGCAUCACGGCAGAAAGCAUCCUAAAGACAGCAAAACAAAAUGGUCAUGGUGACCGCGAAUCUUGGCAUGGAAGUAUAAAUGCACCUUCGUAUGUUUAUUUAGAGAGUUGCACCUAACAAGGGAUCCAUGGAAGAAUCCAUCUUGUCUGUUCAAGACAUCGAUAUUCAGUCACGAGUUUUGAUCAGCAAGGAUGACAGGGAAAUGAUUAUUGUUUGCAGAUUCAAAUUCGAAGAAUUGCAUAUAGAGCACAUUCAAGAUCUUCAGUUUUCGUUUUGAGGCUCUUCCUCCAUGGGAAGGGAGGUGAUUGAAGUCUUAGAUAUACUCUUAAUUUGUGAGGUUUUGUGAAUCCAACACAUCAUGCUUAUUAAUGGUACUUAAAUUUCAUCCUGGGCUUCUGGAUCUGUUGAAAAAUGAGGGCUACACCUAUGACAGAAGCAGAGGCAACCCAUCUUUCUUCCUUGCUUGGUUGAGAAGGAGAAAUUGAAGGAGAAGAAACCUAAUUCAAUGGCAGUCCUUACCCAAACCCUUCAACAAUGCACAAGUCUGGAUGCUUGAGUCUAACUGACAUUGUUGAAGGUCUAAAAGCUGGAUAAAGAACAUUCGUUGUACGAACCAUAGUAAAGAACACAUCUUUUUUGUACCUUGAGUAACCAUGCAUCUAUUGGCUCAAACAAUAGGUAAGCCAAAUUAGUUGAUUUUGUAGUAAUUACGGAAUAUAUUUCCAUGUAGGUAACUGAAACUAAUAGUCGAAUUAUCUGAUAAUUUAUCAGUCA